GCAGUCGUAGUGUAGCGGUUAUCACGCAUCCUUCACACGGAUGAGGUCCCGAGUUCGAUUCUCGGCGAGUGCA
rfam:Nosema bombycis CQ1 unplaced genomic scaffold NBO_507, whole genome shotgun sequence.